CAGUCGCCGCGGUAAUACGAGGGGGGCAAGCGUUGUUCGGAAUUAUUGGGCGUAAAGGGCGCGUAGGCGGUUUGGCAAGUUUCGUGUGAAAUCUUCGGGCUCAACUCGAAGUCUGCACGGAAAACUGCCGGGCUUGAGUAUGGGAGAGGUGAGUGGAAUUUCCGGUGUAGCGGUGAAAUGCGUAGAUAUCGGAAGGAACACCUGUGGCGAAAGCGGCUCACUGGGCCAUUACUGACGCUGAGGCGCGAAAGCUAGGGGAGCAAACAGGAUUAGAUACCCCCGUAGUCCCUGUCUCUUAUAC
rnacentral:rRNA from 1 species